ACUAUUUUGGCAGAAAAAUGCAAUAAAUUUAGAAUUUAUUUAUAUAAUUUAAAUCAUUAUAAAUAGUAU
rnacentral:tRNA from 1 species